rnacentral:rRNA from 1 species
GAACGGUGUAACACGGAGCUUGCUCUGUGGGAUCAGUGGCGAACGGGUGAGUAACACGUGAGCAACCUGCCCCUGACUCUGGGAUAAGCGCUGGAAACGGCGUCUAAUACUGGAUAUGUGACGUGACCGCAUGGUCUGCGUUUGGAAAGAUUUUUCGGUUGGGGAUGGGCUCGCGGCCUAUCAGCUUGUUGGUGAGGUAAUGGCUCACCAAGGCGUCGACGGGUAGCCGGCCUGAGAGGGUGACCGGCCACACUGGGACUGAGACACGGCCCAGACUCCUACGGGAGGCAGCAGUGGGGAAUAUUGCACAAUGGGCGGAAGCCUGAUGCAGCAACGCCGCGUGAGGGAUGACGGCCUUCGGGUUGUAAACCUCUUUUAGCAGGGAAGAAGCGAAAGUGACGGUACCUGCAGAAAAAGCGCCGGCUAACUACGUGCCAGCAGCCGCGGUAAUACGUAGGGCGCAAGCGUUAUCCGGAAUUAUUGGGCGUAAAGAGCUCGUAGGCGGUUUGUCGCGUCUGCUGUGAAAUCCCGAGGCUCAACCUCGGGCCUGCAGUGGGUACGGGCAGACUAGAGUGCGGUAGGGGAGAUUGGAAUUCCUGGUGUAGCGGUGGAAUGCGCAGAUAUCAGGAGGAACACCGAUGGCGAAGGCAGAUCUCUGGGCCGUAACUGACGCUGAGGAGCGAAAGGGUGGGGAGCAAACAGGCUUAGAUACCCUGGUAGUCCACCCCGUAAACGUUGGGAACUAGUUGUGGGGUCCAUUCCACGGAUUCCGUGA